rnacentral:lncRNA from 1 species
UUUAAUCCCAAUUAAAUCGCGAUCGAACGGUCCAGAUUUAAUCUUGAUGGACGGUUGAGAUUAAAAGGCAAAGGGUAUAAAUAACUCCACCCACACCUGACCACAAAAACCCUAGCCGCCAAUGCCUCGCCAGAGAAGAAGAACCCGACGCCGGAGGAGCCGGCCGCCGCCACCUGCCGCCGCACCGGGGAAGUUUUCGACCGCUGAUCGAUGUAAAUUUUCUCCCACUUGCUCGUUUUUUGAUGUUGAGUCCGCCUAUGGCCAAACCGGA